rnacentral:tRNA from 1 species
GCCUCCGUAGCUCAGUGGAUAGAGCAACUGCCUUCUAAGCAGUGGGUCGCUGGUUCGAGUCCAGUCGGAGGUGCCA